CCUACGGGCGGCAGCAGUCGAGAAUCAUUCACAAUGGGGGAAACCCUGAUGGUGCGACGCCGCGUGGGGGAAUGAAGGUCUUCGGAUUGUAAACCCCUGUCAUGUGGGAGCAAAUUAAAAAGAUAGUACCACAAGAGGAAGAGACGGCUAACUCUGUGCCAGCAGCCGCGGUAAUACAGAGGUCUCAAGCGUUGUUCGGAAUCACUGGGCGUAAAGCGUGCGUAGGCUGUUUCGUAAGUCGUGUGUGAAAGGCGCGGGCUCAACCCGCGGACGGCACAUGAUACUGCGAGACUAGAGUAAUGGAGGGGGAACCGGAAUUCUCGGUGUAGCAGUGAAAUGUGUAGAUAUCGAGAGGAACACUCGUGGCGAAGGCGGGUUCCUGGACCUUAACUGACGCUGAGGCACGAAGGCCAGGGGAGCGAAAGGGAUUAGAUACCCGAGUAGUC
rnacentral:rRNA from 1 species